UACGGGGGGGGCAAGCGUUGUUCGGAAUUACUGGGCGUAAAGGGCUCGUAGGUGGCCAACUAAGUCAUACGUGAAAUCCCUCGGCUUAACCGGGGAACUGCGUCUGAUACUGGAUGGCUUGAGGUUGGGAGAGGGAUGCGGAAUUCCAGGUGUAGCGGUGAAAUGCGUAGAUAUCUGGAGGAACACCGGUGGCGAAGGCGGCAUCCUGGACCGGUAUUGACGCUGAGGCGCGAAAGCUAGGGGAGCAAACGGG
rnacentral:rRNA from 1 species